UACGUAGGGGGCAAGCGUUGUCCGGAAUCAUUGGGCGUAAAGAGCGUGUAGGCGGCCCGGUAAGUCCGCUGUGAAAGUCCAGGGCUCAACCCUGGAAUGCCGGUGGAAACUGUCGGGCUAGAGUCCGGAAGAGGCGAGUGGAAUUCCUGGUGUAGCGGCGAAAUGCGCAGAUAUCAGGAGGAACACCAAUGGCGAAGGCAGCUCGCUGGGACGGUACUGACGCUGAGACGCGAAAGCGUGGGGAGCAAACAGG
rnacentral:rRNA from 1 species